rnacentral:rRNA from 1 species
AGGGGUUUGAUCAUGGGCUCAGGACGAACGUUGGCGGCAGGCUUAACACAUGCAAGUCGAACGAGAAGCCCUUCUUCGGAGGGGUGGACAGUGGCGGACGGGUGAGUAACGCGUGGGUACUUGCCUCCCAGUAUGGGACAACCUCGGGAAACUGGGGCUAAUACCAUAUAUACCGGUCUUGGUGGUUCUUGAUCGGGAAAGAUUUAUCGCUGGGAGAUAGACCCGCGUCCGAUUAGCUAGUUGGUGUGGUAGAGGCGCACCAAGGCUUCGAUCGGUAGCUGGUUUGAGAGGAUGAUCAGCCACACUGGGACUGAGACACGGCCCAGACUCCUACGGGAGGCAGCAGUGGGGAAUAUUGGACAAUGGGCGCAAGCCUGAUCCAGCCAUGCCGCGUGAGUGAAGAAGGCCCUAGGGUUGUAAAACUCUUUCACCGGUGAAGAUAGUGACGGUAGCCGGAGAAGAAGCCCCGGCUAACUCCGUGCCAGCAGCCGCGGUAAUACGGAGGGGGCUAACGUUGUUCGGAUUUACUGGGCGUAAAGCGCGCGUAGGCGGUUUGUUAAGUUGGGCGUGAAAUCCCGGGGCUCAACCCCGGAACUGCGUUCGAAACUGGCAAGCUAGAGUUCGGGAGAGGGUGGUGGAAUUUCCAGUGUAGAGGUGAAAUUCGUAGAUAUUGGAAAGAACACCGGUGGCGAAGGCGACCACCUGGACCGAUACUGACGCUGAGUGCGAAAGCGUGGGAGCAACAGG